rnacentral:rRNA from 1 species
UAAUACGGAGGGUGCGAGCGUUGCUCGGAAUUAUUGGGCGUAAAGCGUACGCAGGCGGUUCGAUAAGUCGAGUGUGAAAUCCCGGAGCUCAACUCCGGACGUGCAUUCGAUACUGUCAGACUUGAGUGCGGGAGAGGGAAGCGGAAUUCCUGGUGUAGAGGUGAAAUUCGUAGAUAUCAGGAGGAACACCGGUGGCGAAAGCGGCUUCCUGGCCCGACACUGACGCUCAUGUACGAAAGCGUGGGGAGCAAACAGGAUUAGAUACCCUGGUAGUCCACGCCGUAAACGAUGAGUGCUAGCUGCUGGGAAUGUUUACCGUUUCAGUGGCGAAGCUAACGCAUUAAGCACUCCGCCUGGGAAGUACGGCCGCAAGGCUA